AACUACCAACCAGGAGAUCUAAUGAAAGCGUAUCAAAAUCUUAAAUCUGGCGUAAUUAAUAUUGUUCAUAAUAAUC
rnacentral:tRNA from 1 species